GGGUGAGUAACACGUGGACAACCUGCCUCAAGGCUGGGGAUAACAUUUGGAAACAGAUGCUAAUACCGAAUGAAACUUAGUGUCGCAUGAUACGAAGUUAAAAGGCGCUUUGGCGUCACCUAGAGAUGGAUCCGCGGUGCAUUAGUUAGUUGGUGGGGUAAAGGCCUACCAAGACAAUGAUGCAUAGCCGAGUUGAGAGACUGAUCGGCCACAUUGGGACUGAGACACGGCCCAAACUCCUACGGGAGGCUGCAGUAGGGAAUCUUCCACAAUGGGCGAAAGCCUGAUGGAGCAACGCCGCGUGUGUGAUGAAGGCUUUCGGGUCGUAAAGCACUGUUGUAUGGGAAGAACAGCUAGAAUAGGGAAUGAUUUUAGUUUGACGGUACCAUACCAGAAAGGGACGGCUAAAUACGUGCCAGCAGCCGCGGUAAUACGUAUGUCCCGAGCGUUAUCCGGAUUUAUUGGGCGUAAAGCGAGCGCAGACGGUUGAUUAAGUCUGAUGUGAAAGCCCGGAGCUCAACUCCGGAAUGGCAUUGGAAACUGGUUAACUUGAGUGCAGUAGAGGUAAGUGGAACUCCAUGUGUAGCGGUGGAAUGCGUAGAUAUAUGGAAGAACACCAGUGGCGAAGGCGGCUUACUGGACUGUAACUGACGUUGAGGCUCGAAAGUGUGGGUAGCAAACAGGAUUAGAUACCCUGGUAGUCCACACCGUAAACGAUGAACACUAGGUGUUAGGAGGUUUCCGCCUCUUAGUGCCGAAGCUAACGCAUUAAGUGUUCCGCCUGGGGAGUACGACCGCAAGGUUGAAACUCAAAGGAAUUGACGGGGACCCGCACAAGCGGUGGAGCAUGUGGUUUAAUUCGAAGCAACGCGAAGAACCUUACCAGGUCUUGACAUCCUUUGAAGCUUUUAGAGAUAGAAGUGUUCUCUUCGGAGACAAAGUGACAGGUGGUGCAUGGUCGUCGUCAGCUCGUGUCGUGAGAUGUUGGGUUAAGUCCCGCAACGAGCGCAACCCUUAUUGUUAGUUGCCAGCAUUCAGAUGGGCACUCUAGCGAGACUGCCGGUGACAAACCGGAGGAAGGCGGGGACGACGUCAGAUCAUCAUGCCCCUUAUGACCUGGGCUACACACGUGCUACAAUGGCGUAUACAACGAGUUGCCAACCCGCGAGGGUGAG
rnacentral:rRNA from 1 species